GCUUGUGUCUGUUUUGAGGAUUUUCUGCAUCUCUAGGACACGAUGUUUGUCCGAGUAGGUCAUUAUCAUAGUCCGUUAACACAUGUAUCGAGUCAGAUGAGUUUAGUUAACAGAGUCUUUAGUUUAGCAAUUAUUUAAAACUUCUUUGUUUGUAGGUUAUUGGCUGAAUAUCUUAAAAAAUAUUUUAUUUUUAAGGGAGUGUUUAUGAUAGUUGGGAGAGAAUGAAAACGAAUGAAUGGAAGUUUAAAGGAAAAGAUGAAUAAAUAAAUCAUGAUUGCAUUACAGUUCAGUAAGUGUCUAAAUGCAAAUAAACCGCGAAUCACCAAAAAAUAAAAGUAGUUCUGAAAGAUAGAUGGCGACAAACAUCAUGUUGUAACAGACUGAACGCGGAAACAAAGACGAGAAACACGUGUCAGUGAAUCACACGAUCAUUAAAGGUAGUUUUUCCUCACUAUAGUAAAUAAAUCCACAGCAGCGUAUUUGAAAAGCUCCAGAAAGUUGCAGUGGUUUCUCUACUGAAGGACGUCUGGACAGAUGGAUAGUUCACUGACUGGCCCGUAUCUCUUCCAGAACAAUCAACCAAUCAGCAACACUUCUGUUUAUGUCUGCUGAAUGAAUAAAACAUGUCAGGAUUUCAGUUUACUGGAUUUAUAUUAAUGUCAUGGUCUUUACUCACACUGAGAGUUUACACACACUCUUCAUAACCAGAUGAAACUAUGUGCACGUGUCUGCUGCUCUCCAAAAAUAUGCAUUAUCAAAGAAUAUCAAAAGGACUAUUGUGUGAAUUAUUAAUUAUGUUUUAUUGCUGUAUGUUAAUUGAGAGCAAAUAAAAUGUCU